AGCACUGGUGACGCUCUCUCCACCAGGGCCGUGGCCACUGGGCCUUGUGGGAGCGGUGCCAGCCUGGGAGGCAGAACACCUUGUUUAUAAUGAGCCAUGCAGCUGAUGGUGCCAGGAAGUUCUGUGCUAAUGAAUGGCUACAAAGUUCUCUGCAAGCCCUUCAGAUGAAACACCCACAGGAGCACAGCGGAGGGUGCAGUCACCUCUCAAAGGACGCUGUGUGCUGCCAGCCAGGACCCGAAGGCUUUGCUGUGCUGGAUUCAGAUCAGAUACAGAGCUAUGGGUAUUUCUCCUGGGGAUGGGGCAAGGUUUUGCCUUCAGUCCUGGAAGUUGUGGGUCUAGCACUCAAUGGAGCCACACCAACGUCCCGGUCCCUGUCUCCGGGACGCAGAUGCAUUUACUUGGCACAAACCCUUCACAGCAUCAGUACAGGAGGAGAAGCCUCUGAUCUGACUCAACUCAGCCUCCAAGUCCCUGUCUGCAGUACACAUCUGCUGCUGAAUCUGGCACUGGAGCUGCUCAGUGUCCCUUGGCCUCCCUCCAUCCACGCAGCCGACAGCGCCCUGCUCCUCAGGCAGGACUCGCUUGCAAUCCCCUCUCACUCUGGAGCCCAGAAGUGAAGCAGAAGGUAGGAAAGCCAGGCUGGGGUCUGUCUCACUUUGGACCUUUUGCUCUGCCUGGAGGUGGUGGAAUCCAUGCCCAGCUCGGUCUGAGGCAAGAGCAGAUGCCUUUGUGACAGCCUCAGCAGGUGUCCUGAGCAAGCUGGGAGCAGUUUCUGUGUGGCAGCCCUAUCAGGGCUGUGGCAGUUUUGUUCCUGUCCCGAUGGGUUGCUCUGGUGAGAUGCCACAGCAUGGUGGGACAUGCUGGUUGCCAAGGACAGGGAUGUGCUGUGACAGAGAUGUCUCCUCAACUCCCCCAAAUUUGAAAGUGGUGCUUUAUUAACUAAGGAGAGCAAUAAAGUGCACAGAGUCGUUGUUCUGAGCA
rnacentral:lncRNA from 1 species